rnacentral:rRNA from 1 species
CACGUAGGGUGCGAGCGUUGUCCGGAAUUAUUGGGCGUAAAGAGCUCGUAGGCGGUCUGUCGCGUCGGAAUGUGAAAGCCCGGAGCUUAACUCCGGGUCUGCAUUCGAAUACGGGCAGACUAGAGUGUGGUAGGGGAGAAUCGGAAUUCCUGGUGUAGCGGUGAAAUGCGCAGAUAUCAGGCGGAACACCCGUGGCGAAGGCGGCCAGCUGGGUCGUCCCUGACGCUGAGGCGCGAAGGCGUGGGGAGCGAAC